CCUACGGGCGGCAGCAGUGGGGAAUAUUGGGCAAUGGGCGCAAGCCUGACCCAGCAACGCCGCGUAAAGGAAGAAGGCUUUCGGGUUGUAAACUUCUUUUAAGGGGGAAGAGCAGAAGACGGUACCCCUUGAAUAAGCCACGGCUAACUACGUGCCAGCAGCCGCGGUAAUACGUAGGUGGCAAGCGUUGUCCGGAUUUACUGGGUGUAAAGGGCGUGCAGCCGGAGAGACAAGUCAGAUGUGAAAUCCACGGGCUCAACCCGUGAACUGCAUUUGAAACUGUUUCCCUUGAGUGUCGGAGAGGUAAUCGGAAUUCCUUGUGUAGCGGUGAAAUGCGUAGAUAUAUGGAAGAACACCAGUGGCGAAGGCGGCCGCCUGGCCUGUUACUGACGCUGAGGCACGAAAGCGUGGGGAGCAAAUAGGAUUAGAUACCCCAGUAGUC
rnacentral:rRNA from 1 species